rnacentral:misc_RNA from 1 species
UCUCCGUUGGUGAACCAGAGGAGGGAUCAUUAUCGAGUUUAUAACUCCCAAACCCUAUGUGAACUUACCACUUGUUGCUUCGGCGCGCGCUUCGGCGCCGCCGAGGACACUUAAACUCUUUGUUUUUAUAAGCAUUUCUGAGUGGCCGAAAGGCAAAAUACAAAUGAAUCAAAACUUUCAACAACGGAUCUCUUGGUUCUG